UCAGAUAUGGUGUAGUUGGAAACACGGCUUCGUAACUUAAUGCAAAAUUGCACGAUGUUAUAGAGGCAGUCCUGGGUUCGAACCCCAGUAUCUGAA